rnacentral:rRNA from 1 species
AAGCGAGGCAAUGUCGCGAGACGGAGCGAAUCGCUAAAAGACCGUCCCAGUUCGGAUUGCAGGCUGCAACCCGCCUGCAUGAAGUUGGAAUCGCUAGUAAUCGCGGAUCAGCAUGCCGCGGUGAAUACGUUCCCGGGCCUUGUACACACCGCCCGUCACACCAUGAGAGUUUGUAACACCCAAAGCCGGUGGGGUAACCUUUUGGAGCCAGCCGUCUAAGGUGGGACAGAUGAUUGGGGUGAAGUCGUAACAAGGUAAC